rnacentral:rRNA from 1 species
CGAUGAGUAAGGCGGGACACGUGUUAUCCUGUCUGAAUAUGGGGGGACCAUCCUCCAAGGCUAAAUACUCCUGACUGACCGAUAGUGAACCAGUACCGUGAGGGAAAGGCGAAAAGAACCCCGGCGAGGGGAGUGAAAAAGAACCUGAAACCGUGUACGUACAAGCAGUGGGAGCACCUUUAUGGUGUGACUGCGUACCUUUUGUAUAAUGGGUCAGCGACUUAUAUUCUGUAGCAAGGUUAACCGAAUAGGGGAGCCGCAGGGAAACCGAGUCUUAACUGGGCGUCUUAGUUGCAGGGUAUAGACCCGAAACCCGGUGAUCUAGCCAUGGGCAGGUUGAAGGUUGGGUAACACUAACUGGAGGACCGAACCGACUAAUGUUGAAAAAUUAGCGGAUGACUUGUGGCUGGGGGUGAAAGGCCAAUCAAACCGGGAGAUAGCUGGUUCUCCCCGAAAGCUAUUUAGGUAGCGCCUCGUGAAUUCAUCUCCGGGGGUAGAGCACUGUUUCGGCUAGGGGGUCAUCCCGACUUACCAACCCGAUGCAAACUGCGAAUACCGGAGAAUGUUAUCACGGGAGACACACGGCGGGUGCUAACGUUCGUCGUGAAGAGGGAAACAACCCAGACCGCCGGCUAAGGUCCCAAAGUCAUAAUUAAGUGGGAAACGAAGUGGGAAGGCUCAGACAGCCAGGAUGUUGGCUUAGAAGCAGCCAUCAUUUAAAGAAAGCGUAAUAGCUCACUGGUCGAGUCGGCCUGCGCGGAAGAUGUAACGGGGCUAAAUUAUGCACCGAAGCCGCGGCAGCGAUAUGUAAAUAUUGUUGGGUAGGGGAGCGUUCUGUAAGCCUGUGAAGGUGGCCUGUGAGGGCUGCUGGAGGUAUCAGAAGUGCGAAUGCUGACAUAAGUAACGAUAAUGCGGGUGAAAAACCCGCACGCCGGAAGACCAAGGGUUCCUGUCCAACGUUAAUCGGGGCAGGGUGAGUCGACCCCUAAGGCGAGGCUGAAAAGCGUAGUCGAUGGGCAACGGGUUAAUAUUCCCGUACUGGUGGUAACUGCGAAGGGGGGACGGAGAAAGCUAAAUCAUCCGGGCGACGGUUGUCCCGGUUUAAGCGUGCAGGUGGACUGACCAGGCAAAUCCGGUCGGUUGUUAACACUGAGGCGUGACGACGAGCCACUACGGUGGUGAAGUGAUUGAUGCUCUGCUUCCGGGAAAAGCCUCUAAGCUCCAGGUUACCAUUAAUCGUACCCCAAACCGACACAGGUGGUCAGGUAGAGAAUACUCAGGCGCUUGAGAGAACUCGGGUGAAGGAACUAGGCAAAAUGGUGCCGUAACUUCGGGAGAAGGCACGCUGGCAYUAGGUGAAGUSSYUURCKSAYGGAGCUGAAGCCAGCCGCAGAUACCAGCUGGCUGCAACUGUUUAUUAAAAACACAGCACUGUGCAAACACGAAAGUGGACGUAUACGGUGUGACGCCUGCCCGGUGCCGGAAGGUUAAUUGAUGAGGUCAGCCGCAAGGCGAAGCUUCUGAUCGAAGCCCCGGUAAACGGCGGCCGUAACUAUAACGGUCCUAAGGUAGCGAAAUUCCUUGUCGGGUAAGUUCCGACCUGCACGAAUGGCGUAAUGAUGGCCAGGCUGUCUCCACCCGAGACUCAGUGAAAUUGAACUCGCUGUGAAGAUGCAGUGUACCCGCGGCAAGACGGAAAGACCCCGUGAACCUUUACUAUAGCUUGACACUGAACAUUGAGCCUUGAUGUGUAGGAUAGGUGGGAGGCAACGAAGUGUGGACGCCAGUCUGCACGGAGCCAUCCUUGAAAUACCACCCUUUAACGUUUGAUGUUCUAACCCGGGUCCAUAAUCUGGAUCGGGGACCGUGUCUGGUGGGUAGUUUGACUGGGGCGGUCUCCUCCCAAAGAGUAACGGAGGAGCACGAAGGUUGGCUAAGCAUGGUCGGACAUCAUGCGGUUAGUGCAAAGGCAUAAGCCAGCUUGACUGCGAGAGUGACGGCUCGAGCAGGUACGAAAGUAGGUCUUAGUGAUCCGGUGGUUCUGAAUGGAAGGGCCAUCGCUCAACGGAUAAAAGGUACUCCGGGGAUAACAGGCUGAUACCGCCCAAGAGUUCAUAUCGACGGCGGUGUUUGGCACCUCGAUGUCGGCUCAUCACAUCCUGGGGCUGAAGUAGGUCCCAAGGGUAUGGCUGUUCGCCAUUUAAAGUGGUACGCGAGCUGGGUUUAGAACGUCGUGAGACAGUUCGGUCCCUAUCUGCCGUGGGCGCUGGAAGAUUGAGAGGGGUUGCUCCUAGUACGAGAGGACCGGAGUGAACGCACCACUGGUGUACGGGUUGUGAUGCCAAUUGCAUUGCCCGGUAGCUAAGUGCGGAAGAGAUAACCGCUGAAAGCAUCUAAGCGGGAAACUUGCCUCGAGAUGAGUCUUCCCUGACAGUGAACGCACCACUGGUGUACGGGUUGUGAUGCCAAUUGCAUUGCCCGGUAGCUAAGUGCGGAAGAGAUAACCGCUGAAAGCAUCUAAGCGGGAAACUUGCCUCGAGAUGAGUCUUCCCUGAUUCUUUAAGAAUCCUGAAGGAACGUUUGAGACUAAGACGUUGAUAGGCUGGGUGUGUAAGCGCAGCGAUGCGUUGAGCUGACCAGUACUAAUGAACCGAGAGGCUUAACCUGACAACACCGAAGGUGUUU